UAAGCGGAGGAAAAGAAACUAACAAGGAUUCCCCUAGUAACUGCGAGUGAAGCGGGAAAAGCUCAAAUUUAAAAUCUGGCGGUCUCUGGCCGUCCGAGUUGUAAUUUAGAGAAGCGUCUUCCGCGCCGGACCGUGCACAAGUCUCCUGGAAUGGAGCGUCAUAGAGGGUGAGAAUCCCGUCUUUGGCACGGAUGCCUGUGCUUCUGUGAUGCGCUCUCGAAGAGUCGAGUUGUUUGGGAAUGCAGCUCAAAAUGGGUGGUGAACUCCAUCUAAAGCUAAAUAUUGGCGAGAGACCGAUAGCGAACAAGUACCGUGAGGGAAAGAUGAAAAGCACUUUGGAAAGAGAGUGAAACAGUACGUGAAAUUGUUGAAAGGGAAACGCUUGAAGUCAGUCGCGUCGACCGAGACUCAGCCUUGCCUUGGCUUGGUGUACUUCUCGGCCCGACGGGUCAGCAUCAAUUUUGCCCCUCGGAUAAUGGCAAGGGAAAGGUGGCACCUUUGCGGGUGUGUUAUAGUCUCCUGUCGCAUGCGAGGGGUGGGAUUGAGGAACUCAGCGCGCACCUUGGUGUCGGGGCUUCGGCCCACGUCACGCGCUUAGGAUGCUGGCGUAAUGGCUUUAAACGACC
rnacentral:rRNA from 1 species